GUGAAGUGAAAUAAACCCUAUACUCUGUUCUGUUCUAGAAGAAGCAGAAAUCUCUCGGUAGCAAGUUCUCUAGAGUUAUAUUUUGCCAUAAUGGCCAAAAGGUGUCUGUUAAAUCACAAAUAAACUCCCUUGCCCACUUGCCCGCCCGAAAAUCAGGGACUGGCACGUUGUUAUCAUGUUGGAUAUGCAUCAUCUCACGGUAUUAAUUGCCUCGUGGAUUAAGUUAUUAUUACACUCCACUCAACCUACCAGAACCCAUUACGAAGCAGUGAAGACGACUCUGUAUCGACAGGAACGUGCGUGGUUGUAACGACAAAUCACGUUAUUUCGAUACAGGUUAAUCACGGGUCACAAUACUAUGUAGAUUGAUUUGAUAUAUAUCUAACCGACUCAUACGGGCAAUUGAGACAAUUUGGUAUCACACGGGGUUGUUAUCAGUUGCACUCAUCACCCUUGGGUGUUCACAAGAUGAUGUAUUGAUGUGGUCCAGAAAUCUGUAACACUGUUCAUCGCAGCACUGUACCAGAAGAAUUACUCCCUCCGUCCCACAACAAGCAAACCGUGGAUUCCCGUGUUAACGUUUAAUUGUCCGUCUUAUAUGAUUUUUUUUAUAAUUAGUAUUUUCAUUGUUGUUAGAUGAUAAAACAUGAUUAAUAUUUUAUGCAUGACUUAUCUUUUUAAUUUUUUAUAACUUUUUUAAAUAAGACGAACAGUCAAACAUUGGAAACGGAAAUCAAGGUUUGUCUUUUUUUUUGGACGGAAGGAGUAUGUAGAUAGAGCUGUGACGGUUACUGUAGGUCAAAUGUUUAGACGUUGAUGCCCCUGAUCUGACAGCUGGGAAAUGGAAUGCACUCCAUGGUUACCCUAAAUGCAGAUAUAUUGUAGAAAAACAAAAUUUAUACUAUUUUUCUCAUCCUAAAAUAUAACAACCUAUGAUAAUAUUAGACUUAUCCUAAACCAUGAAUUUGGACAUACCGUAUGAUAAAUUCGUUGUGUUAGGAUAAGUUUAAUCCCAUUCUAAAUUGUUACUAUAUUUUAAAACGGAGGGAGUAGAAAGUUUUAUAAAUGCUUGGCUAAUGAAGUUAGUUGAAUUGAAUUGCUCGUACUUUCUCAUGAACUUAAGUUUUUAAGCGAGUUGGCUAAUAGUCCAUGAUGCACGUUAAUAUGGUAUUAGAGUCAGGCAUGGAAUUCAUAUGAUAGCUGAUGUGAUUAAAUGAAAAACUUGAAGCUCUUCCAUUCCAUGUAUUAUAAGAGCAAGUUUAAUAGUACAAUCAACUACUAGCUCCAAAUCAUUUGUAAUCAAUUUAAUAGCUAAUUCAUACAAUAAGAACAUAUAAACGUAUACUACACUAUUAGCACAUAGUCCCACCUGCCAUACAUACAUUUUGUCUAGGAGCCCGUGCUGCAGCUAGCAACAAAUUUGUAGCCCGCUGCUCAUCUCUCUUUUUUUAUUUCCUUGAUAUGUGUUUAUAGCUGGCAUAUAGCCUGGUAUUGUACCUGCUCUAAGGUACAACAUCCACAUGAUUCAUGUGGAGUUUUGAAGUGAACCGUUGGCUCUCUCUCAUUAGCUCAAGUUUUUUGGUUGACUUGGUUGACGCAUGUACUCCAUCCGUCCCAAAAUAUAAGCAUUUUUAGCAUAGUGAUAAGUCAAACAUUUUCAACUUUGACUAUUAAUAGC
rnacentral:sRNA from 1 species